rnacentral:lncRNA from 1 species
UGGCUUCCAGUCCUUCAGCGCCUUCAUGGCACGGUCCACCUCCAUUGCAGAUGGCUGCGGCCUUGGUUUGUCACAGAGAGCAGCCAUCUCUGCGAUGCUGAGGCCUGCACUGCUGCUGCUCGCCGGGGCCCCGUCGCCGCAGGUGCCGCUGCUCCUGGGUGCCUGCAGCCAGCCCCGCUUGGCGGGAGGAGGCUGCUGCCCGCCGUUCCCACCCCCCAUCAGCGUGUCUGCCGCUGCAUGCGCCAGCCCCAGCCCACCGGAGCCAGUGCCCACACCGCUGCUGCUCGCCGGGGCCCCGUCGCCGCAGGUGCCGCUGCUCCUGGGUGCCUGCAGCCGGCCCCGCUUGGCGGGAGGAGGCUGCUGCCCGCCGUUCCCACCCCCCAUCAGCGUGUCUGCCGCUGCAUGCACCAGCCCCAGCCCACCGGAGCCAGUGCCCACACCGCUGCUGCU